AGAGUUUGAUCCUGGCUCAGAUUGAACGCUGGCGGCAUGCCUAACACAUGCAAGUCGAACGGUAACAGGUCAAGUGAUCCCUUCGGGGUGAGCAAGAUGCUGACGAGUGGCGGACGGGUGAGUAAUGCGUAGGAAUCUACCUUCAAGUGGGGGAUAGCCCGGAGAAAUCCGGAUUAAUACCGCAUGUUCUCUACGGAGAAAAGCGGGCCUCUGUUUCAAGCUCGCGCUUGAAGAUGAGCCUACGUCGGAUUAGCUAGUUGGUAGGGUAAAGGCCUACCAAGGCGACGAUCCGUAGCUGGUUUGAGAGGAUGAUCAGCCACACUGGGACUGAGACACGGCCCAGACUCCUACGGGAGGCAGCAGUGGGGAAUAUUGGACAAUGGGCGCAAGCCUGAUCCAGCAAUGCCGCGUGUGUGAAGAAGGCCUGCGGGUUGUAAAGCACUUUUAUCGGGAAAGGAAAGCUUAGGGCUAAUACCUCUAAGCCUGACGGUACCCGAGAAUAGA
rnacentral:rRNA from 1 species